rnacentral:sRNA from 1 species
CGCCUAACCCUUAUAAGUAUUUAUAAGGUAUGGCGCAAAAUCCCGCUAGAGAAUAAAGGACUCCCAGUCCAGAGUCACUCUAGCGGGUUAUGCAGGGAAACUUGUAUAGGCAAGACCGAAAGGUUGC